CAAUAGCGUAUAUUUAAGUUGUUGCAGUUAAAAAGCUCGUAGUUGGAUUUCGGACGGGACUUGCCGGUCCGUCGUUUCGAUGUGCACUGGCCAGUCCUAUCUUGUUGUCGGGGACUAGCUCCUGGGCUUCACUGUCCGGGACUAGGAGCUGACGAGGUUACUUUGAGUAAAUUAGAGUGUUCAAAGCAAGCCUACGCUCUGAAUACAUUAGCAUGGAAUAACACGAUAGGACUCUGGCUUAUCUUGUUGGUCUGUGAGACCAGAGUAAUGAUUAAGAGGGACAGUCGGGGGCAUUCGUAUUUCAUUGUCAGAGGUGAAAUUCUUGGAUUUAUGAAAGACGAACUUCUGCGAAAGCAUUUGUCAAGGAUGUUUUCAUUAA
rnacentral:rRNA from 1 species